rnacentral:lncRNA from 10 species
UACAGGUGUGAGCCACUGCGCCUGGCCAGAGCUGGUUCUUUUUCUUUAGAGCGACUUUUUAUAGCUGUCAAGGUAGAAAACAGAGAAUUUCUUUAUAACUUGCAAUUUCUACAGUUGGCAGCCUCCUCUGCUCAGGCCUUGUCAAUGUCUGGUUUUCCCACCCUCCCAGAAAUGGGGUCUCGAUCUAUCACCCAGGCUGGAGUGCAGUGGCGUGAUCAUGGUUCACUGCAGCCUCAAACUCCUGGGCUCAAGUCAUCCUCCUACCUCAGCCUUCCAAGUAGCUAGAACUACAGGUGUGUGCUACUACAAUGACUAAUUUAUUUUCUUAGAGACGAGGUCUCGCUAUGUUUCCUAGGCUAAUCUCAAAUUCCUGGCCUGAAGUGGUCCUCCUGCUUGGGCCUCCUGAGUCGCUGGGAUUACAAUACUGUCUAGUAUGAAGGAAGUUUGUCUUGAUAUGUUUCCUGCUCAAAACAAAAUGCAACUUGUCAUUUUCAAACUCUAAAAUUCUUCUGGUGUGUUUUAAAAUGUCUAUACUGUAAUAGCAAAUAAAUUAACUUUUAUGACA